GAAAAAUUGUCUUGGGCCUGUGUUUCCACAAGUUGAUGACCUUCCACAAAAUGGUAUUGAGGUGGACGUAAUACACUACAAAGUAAUAUGGUACUGCUGCUCAGACUGGAAAUUUCUUGCCAUGGCCUAUGGACUAAAUGCUGCCACUGGGAAAUAUUUUUGCAUAUGGUGCCACUGCACAAAAGCAAAAAUUUGUGAUUUCUCAAUACAAGACUGGCCAAUUGAGAGGAAUCUUCAACAAUGUAUGAAGAACAGCGCAGAAAAAACCACUGAUGGAAGGAAAGGUUCAAUUCAUGAGCCAUUAAUCUCAAUUCCAUUCACACAAGUUAUUUUCGACACUCUUCAUCUUUUUCGUAGGAUCAUGGGGCUUCUCUUCCACCAAGUAAAUACACAUUUUAACAUUAAUACUAAUGACUUAAUUGAGUGAAGUCCUUAUAGGUACUCAUGAGGAAAUUAGUCAGAAGACCUCCAUCUCUGGUGAAUCUUUAAAUUUGUGUCUUAGA